GGGCAGUUAGCUCAGUUGGUAGAGCGUGUCAUUGACGUUGACAAUGUCGGGGGUUCGACUCCCUCACUGCCCA
rfam:Microgenomates (Daviesbacteria) bacterium GW2011_GWA2_38_17 TS80_C0014, whole genome shotgun sequence.